UACGAAGGGGGCUAGCGUUGUUCGAAAUUACUGGGCGUAAAGCGCGCGCAGGCGGCCAUUCAAGUCAGGGGUGAAAGCCCGGAGCUCAACUCCGGAAUUGCCUUUGAAACUGUUUGGCUUGAGUACGGGAGAGGUGAGUGGAAUUCCCAGUGUAGAGGUGAAAUUCGUAGAUAUUGGGAAGAACACCGGUGGCGAAGGCGGCUCACUGGCCCGUUUCUGACGCUCAUGUGCGACAGCGUGGGGAUCAAACAGG
rnacentral:rRNA from 1 species